CCUCACUAUAGCAAUUAUAAAAGACAUAUUAAUUUGCUCAUUUAGAAGAUAUUGCUAUUCAUAAUAAUUCAUCACACAUAUAUGAGUUAUUUUUCAUAUCUUAUAAUUAAAAUAUUUUAAUUGAUCCCAUUCAUAAACAUUAAUCCAAAGACAUUCAUUAAAAUUCAAAGCAUAAAAAAAUAUAUAUAUCAAAAUGUGACUG
rnacentral:lncRNA from 1 species